rnacentral:rRNA from 1 species
ACCCGCUGAACUUAAGCAUAUCAAUAAGCGGAGGAAAAGAAACCAACAGGGAUUGCCUCAGUAACGGCGAGUGAAGCGGCAAGAGCUCAAAUUUGAAAUCUGGUCCUUUCAGGGCCCGAGUUGUAAUUUGCAGAGGAUGCUUUGGGUGCGGCCGCGGCGUAAGUGCCCUGGAACGGGCUGUCGCAGAGGGUGAGAAUCCCGUCUUGAGUCGCCGGUUCGCGCCCGUGUAAAGCUCCUUCGACGAGUCGAGUUGUUUGGGAAUGCAGCUCUAAAUGGGUGGUAAAUUUCAUCUAAAGCUAAAUAUUGGCUGGAGACCGAUAGCGCACAAGUAGAGUGAUCGAAAGGUUAAAAGCACCUUGAAAAGGGAGUUAAAUAGCACGUGAAAUUGUUGAAAGGGAAGCGCUUGCAACCAGACUCGGCCGCAGAGGCUCAACGGGCACGUGUGCCUGUGCACUCCUCUGUGGUCGGGCCAGCAUCAGUUCUGGCGACCGGUCAAAGGCCCCUGGAAUGUGUCGUCCUCCGGGACGUCUUAUAGCCAGGGGUGCAAUGCGGCCAGCCGGGACUGAGGAACGCGCUUCGGCACGGAUGCUGGCAUAAUGGUUGUAAGCGGCCCGUCUUGAAACACGG